UACUUGCAGAGACUACAGCUUACUAGGUCUUGUAGUAAAUUUACAUCCAUAAGGAGGUAGCCAGAGACAAGUCUGGAAUUUGUAGCUUCACUCUUGGGAUCAAAACACAGUGUAAAAGUUUCUAAACCUAAAAUAGUGGUUUUUUGUUUUUUGGUUUUUUUGUUUUUAAACCCUAGUCCCAAAGAACGAACUCCAGUUUUAGAAAGCUACCUAAAAAUGAAAUUCCUCACUGGAGGAUCUAUUGCUGAUGUAAUUGGAAUCAUUAACAGAAGUGGUACAAUUUACCUAGUAUGCCUUAUGCACUGGGUGUGACUUUAAAUUUGGCAGAUAAUCACCUGUGGCUCUCAACGUGUUGUUAAGGCUGGUUUCUUCACUGCUGUUUCUUUUUGUUGACAUCCUUACUGGCCUUCUCCAGUGAAGUGUUGAACAUGCUACACAGAAGAUGAAUUUCUUCAGUCAGCUGUGAGGAAUAUUGGUCUCUUCUAGUCAACCAAAGCUAUAACCCCAGCUAACCAUGACACCAGCCCUUCCUCAAGUCAUCAGCAUCCAUUUUAAAAAAUGGAUCAGCUUUGUAGGGAAUGAAAAAAUUUAUCUUGAAAGAUUUCAGGAUAAUUUUUCUCCUUUUUUUUUAAUAGCUUCAAAUCCCUUGAUUGAUUUCCAAAGGUGAUGAGUUUGUUGUGUGGACUGUGUUUUUUUGCUGUCCCUUGCUGUAUAUUUUUGUUUGUUUGUUUUUUAAAGUAAU